rnacentral:tRNA from 1 species
UCCAGGGUAGCCUAGUGGACAUGGUAUCUGCCUGGUAAGCGGAACAAUGUGGGUUCGAUUCCCAUCCCUGGAC